CAGCUCCAAUAGCGUAUAUUUAAGUUGCUGCAGUUAAAAAGCUCGUAGUUGGAUUUCGGAUGGGUUCCGUCGGUCCGCCNCUUNGGKKKKCACUGGCGGCGCCCAUCUUGCUGCCGGGGACGGGCUCCUGGGCUUAACUGUCCGGGACUCGGAGUCGCGAGGUUACUUUGAGUAAAUUAGAGUGUUCAAAGCAGGCCUACGCUCUGAAUACAUUAGCAUGGAAUAACACGAUAGGACUCUGGCCUAUCUUGUUGGUCUGUAGGACCGGAGUAAUGAUUAAGAGGGACAGUCGGGGGCAUUCGUAUUUCAUUGUCAGAGGUGAAAUUCUUGGAUUUAUGAAAGACGAACUACUGCGAAAGCAUUUGCCAAGGAUGUUUUCAUUAAUCAAGAACGAAAGU
rnacentral:rRNA from 1 species